CAAGUCAAUUUCUGCUUAUUUCACGGCGGUGACGUUCUAAAGCACAAAUAAAUAACCAUCUAACACUCAACAGAUGAUUUACUGUGCAGACAGAUGCUCUUAGUUUUAUUAUCCUCUGCUGCAUUUCAUUCAUUACAUCCAGCGUGCAU